CAGUCGCCACGGUAAUACGGAGGGGGCUAGCGUUGUUCGGAAUUACUGGGCGUAAAGCGUACGUAGGCGGCUUUGUAAGUUAGAGGUGAAAGCCUGGAGCUCAACUCCAGAAUUGCCUUUAAGACUGCAUCGCUUGAACGUCGGAGAGGUGAGUGGAAUUCCGAGUGUAGAGGUGAAAUUCGUAGAUAUUCGGAAGAACACCAGUGGCGAAGGCGGCUCACUGGACGACUGUUGACGCUGAGGUACGAAAGCGUGGGGAGCAAACAGGAUUAGAGACCCGCGUAGUCCCUGUCUCUUAUAC
rnacentral:rRNA from 1 species